CAAUAGCGUAUAUUUAAGUUGCUGCAGUUAAAAAGCUCGUAGUUGGAUUUCGGGUGGGAAUGGCCGGUCCGCCGUUUCGGUGUGCACUUGCUACGCCCACCUUGCUGCCGGGGACGUGCUCUUGAGUUCACGCUCGGGACACGGAGUCGGCGAGGUUACUUUGAGUAAAUUAGAGUGUUCAAAGCAGGCCUACGCUCUGAAUACAUUAGCAUGGAAUAACACGAUUGGACUCUGGCCUAUCUUGUUGGUCUGUAGGACCGGAGUAAUGAUUAAGAGGGACAGUCGGGGGCAUUCGUAUUUCAUUGUCAGAGGUGAAAUUCUUGGAUUUAUGAAAGACGAACUACUGCGAAAGCAUUUGCCAAGGAUGUUUUCAUUAA
rnacentral:rRNA from 1 species